GAUGAAGAAGUAGCGAAAUGCGAUAAGUAGUGUGAAUUGCAGAAUUCAGUGAAUCAUCGAAUCUUUGAACGCACAUUGCGCCCCUCGGUAUUCCGUGGGGCAUGCCUGUUCGAGCGUCAUUUAACCCCUCAAGCCUAGCUUGGUAUUGGGUGCUUGUCCCGCCUCUCGCGCGGCGACUCACCUCAAAGUCAUUGGCAGCCCGCAUCUCGCCGGCCGUGAGCGCAGCACAGACGCGCUCUUGGCAACGACGGAUCGGCUCUCCAAAAGCUUAUUUCAACCACUGACCUCGGAUCAGGUAGGGAUACCCGCUGAACUUAAGCAUAUCAAUAAGCGGAGGA
rnacentral:misc_RNA from 1 species